CAACUGUAUUCCUGAGUGGGGUUCUUAUGAUAAAUUUAACUUCAGCUAUAGAACCAGACCAAAAAAAUUUUAUAAAACAAAAUACCAUGACAUUCAUUUACUGGAAAAAUAUUCUGAGUGCACAAUAUGCACCAGCAUUGUAUAAGUCGCAAGAAAUGCUCUACAGGUGAGGGACAUGGAGCAAAUUACCUACAGAGUGUCCCUACACAAGCUCUGAACUGAACAGGAAAAGCAGAAUUAAAUAUAAAUGGUCCUGGAGGCAAGUGUGGUUCUUCUUCCGAUGUACAUCACUGGUGGUAUUCAAGAGAGUGAGCCUCCCCAGAGCAUGUGGCCCACAUCCUGUCUUUUGGAGCUCUGCCCUGACCGUGUGCGUGACUCACACUUUCUUCAGCUGGGUGUCAGUCGGGCUCAGCAGCAGAGCUGAGAAAAAUGGAAAAGGUUCUUCAGUCCAUGAACACUGUGAAGAACAAGCAAGGGCUUGAGCUGUAAACUGCGAGACCUUUGACUCCACUUAUUCCCGUUCGCCUUGCAAGCUUUUGUUGUAAGGAUCGAUGAACAUUAAGAAAUCCACACAAUGGAGAUGAUAGCAAGCACAAGUAAAAUCUAGUCAUAAACUUCCAGGUCAGGAAAAAGAAAUAAAGAUGAGAAAAACACAG
rnacentral:lncRNA from 1 species